rnacentral:rRNA from 1 species
AGCCUUUAGAAAUGAAGAUUAAUACUCCAUGGUAAGUGACUGUGGCAUCACAGACACUUUAAAGCUUCGGUGGUAAGAGAUGAGUAUGCGUUCUAUUAGCUAGUAGGUAUGGUAACGGCAUACCUAGGCAACGAUAGAUAGGGGCCCUGAGAGGGGGAUCCCCCACACUGGUACUGAGACACGGACCAGACUCCUACGGGAGGCAGCAGUGAGGAAUAUUGGACAAUGGAGGCAACUCUGAUCCAGCCAUGCCGCGUGCAGGAAGACUGCCCUAUGGGUUGUAAACUGCUUUUAUACAGGAAGAAACAAUCCUUCGUGAGGGAUCUUGACGGUACUGUAAGAAUAAGGAUCGGCUAACUCCGUGCCAGCAGCCGCGGUAAUACGGAGGAUCCAAGCGUUAUCCGAAAUCAUUGGGUUUAAAGGGUCCGUAGGUGGAUAAUUAAGUCAGAGGUGAAAGUCUGCAGCUCAACUGUAGAAUUGCCUUUGAUACUGGUUAUCUUGAAUUAUUGUGAAGUGGUUAGAAUAUGUAGUGUAGCGGUGAAAUGCAUAGAUAUUACAUAGAAUACCAAUUGCGAAGGCAGAUCACUAACAAUAUAUUGACACUGAUGGACGAAAGCGUGGGGAGCGAACAGGAUUAGAUACCCUGG